GGAGGGAUAGCGAAGUGGUCAAACGCAGCGGACUGUAAAUCCGUUCCUUCGGGUUCGUAGGUUCAAAUCCUACUCCCUCCA
rfam:Alkalibacterium sp. 20 contig76, whole genome shotgun sequence.